GACACGACUCUCGGCAAUGGAUAUCUCGGCUCUCGCAUCGAUGAAGAGCGCAGCGAAAUGCGACACGUGGUGUGAAUUGCAGAAUCCCGCGAAC
rnacentral:rRNA from 1 species